GACGAACGCUGGCGGCAUGCCUAAUACAUGCAAGUCGAGCGAACAGAUGAAGUGCUUGCACUUCUGACGUUAGCGGCGAACGGGUGAGUAACACGUAAGGAAUCUACCUAUAAGCGGGGGAUAACAUUCGGAAACGGGUGCUAAUACCGCAUAAUAUCUUCUUCCGCAUGGAAGAAGAUUGAAAGACGGCUCUGCUGUCACUUAUAGAUGACCUUGCGGUGCAUUAGUUAGUUGGUGGGGUAAUGGCCUACCAAGACGAUGAUGCAUAGCCGACCUGAGAGGGUGAUCGGCCACAUUGGGACUGAGACACGGCCCAAACUCCUACGGGAGGCAGCAGUAGGGAAUCUUCCGCAAUGGGCGAAAGCCUGACGGAGCAAUGCCGCGUGAGUGAAGAAGGCCUUCGGGUCGUAAAACUCUGUUAUAAGAGAAGAACAAAUUGUAGAGUAACUGCUACAGUCUUGACGGUAUCUUAUCAGAAAGCCACGGCUAACUACGUGCCAGCAGCCGCCGCCG
rnacentral:rRNA from 1 species